ACCCGCUGAACUUAAGCAUAUCAAUAAGCGGAGGAAAAGAAACCAACAGGGAUUGCCUCAGUAACGGCGAGUGAAGCGGCAACAGCUCAAAUUUGAAAUCUGGCCUUUUUAGGGUCCGAGUUGUAAUUUGCAGAGGGAGCUUUGGCGUUGGCUGUGGUCUAAGUUCCUUGGAACAGGGCGUCACAGAGGGUGAGAAUCCCGUACGUGGCCGCCAGCCUUCGCCGUGUAAAGCCCCUUCGACGAGUCGCGUUGUUUGGGAAUGCAGCGCUAAAUGGGAGGUAAAUUUCUUCUAAAGCUAAAUAUUGGCCAGAGACCGAUAGCGCACAAGUAGAGUGAUCGAAAGAUGAAAAGCACUUUGGAAAGAGAGUCAAAAAGCACGUGAAAUUGUUGAAAGGGAAGCGCUUGCAGCCAGACUUGCCCGCGGUCGCUCAUCCAGGCUUUUGCCUGGUGCACUCUUCCGUGGGCAGGCCAGCAUCAGUCCGGGCGGUUGGAUAAAGACCUGCUAAACGUACCUCUCCUCGGGGAGGACUUAUAGGGUAGGUGGCAUACGACCAGCCUGGAUUGAGGUCCGCGCUUCUGCUAGGAUGCUGGCGUAAUGGCUGUAAGCGGCCCGUCUUGAAACACGG
rnacentral:rRNA from 1 species